ACGAACGCUGGCGGCAUGCCUAACACAUGCAAGUCGAACGAGGCCUUCGGGUCUAGUGGCGCACGGGUGCGUAACGCGUGGGAACCUGCCCUUAGGUUCGGAAUAACUCCCCGAAAGGGGUGCUAAUACCGGACAAUGUCUUCGGACCAAAGAUUUAUCGCCUUUGGAUGGGCCCGCGUUGGAUUAGCUAGUUGGUAGGGUAAAAGCCUACCAAGGCGACGAUCCAUAGCUGGUCUGAGAGGAUGAUCAGCCACACUGGGACUGAGACACGGCCCAGACUCCUACGGGAGGCAGCAGUGGGGAAUAUUGGACAAUGGGCGAAAGCCUGAUCCAGCAAUGCCGCGUGAGUGAUGAAGGCCUUAGGGUUGUAAAGCUCUUUUACCCGGGAUGAUAAUGACAGUACCGGGAGAAUAAGCUCCGGCUAACUCCGUG
rnacentral:rRNA from 1 species